CCCUUAGAUGUUCUGGCCCGCACGCGCGCUACACUGACGAAUGCAACGAGCUUAUAACCUUGGCCGAAAGGUCUGGGUAAUCUCCAAAUUUCGUCGUGAUGGGGAUAGAUUAUUGCAAUUAUUAAUCUUCAACGAGGAAUGCCUAGUAAGCGCAAGUCAUCAGCUUGCGUUGAUUACGUCCCUGCCCUUUGUACACACCGCCCGUCGCUCCUACCGAUUGAAUGGUCCGGUGAAGCGUUCGGACCGUGGCCUUUGGACGGUUCGCCGUCUGUUGGCUGCGGGAAGUUCGUUAAACCUUAUCAUUUAGAGGAAGGAGAAGUCGUAACA
rnacentral:rRNA from 1 species